rnacentral:rRNA from 1 species
GCUGGCGGCGUGCCUAAUACAUGCAAGUCGAACGAAACUUUCUUACACCGAAUGCUUGCAUUCACCGUAAGAAGUUGAGUGGCGGACGGGUGAGUAACACGUGGGUAACCUGCCUAAAAGAAGGGGAUAACACUUGGAAACAGGUGCUAAUACCGUAUAUCUCUAAGGAUCGCAUGAUUCUUAGAUGAAAGAUGGUUCUGCUAUCGCUUUUAGAUGGACCCGCGGCGUAUUAACUAGUUGGUGGGGUAACGGCCUACCAAGGUGAUGAUACGUAGCCGAACUGAGAGGUUGAUCGGCCACAUUGGGACUGAGACACGGCCCAAACUCCUACGGGAGGCAGCAGUAGGGAAUCUUCCACAAUGGACGCAAGUCUGAUGGAGCAACGCCGCGUGAGUGAAGAAGGUCUUCGGAUCGUAAAACUCUGUUGUUAGAGAAGAACACGAGUGAGAGUAACUGUUCAUUCGAUGACGGUAUCUAACCAGCAAGUCACGGCUAACUACGUGCCAGCAGCCGCGGUAAUACGUAGGUGGCAAGCGUUGUCCGGAUUUAUUGGGCGUAAAGGGAACGCAGGCGGUCUUUUAAGUCUGAUGUGAAAGCCUUCGGCUUAACCGGAGUAGUGCAUUGGAAACUGGAAGACUUGAGUGCAGAAGAGGAGAGUGGAACUCCAUGUGUAGCGGUGAAAUGCGUAGAUAUAUGGAAGAACACCAGUGGCGAAAGC